CCUUAUUUUUGUAUCACACAGCAUAACCAGAAUGUUUGUAUUCUAUGCCUAUUUUUAUUUAGAAAUUACUGAGUCAGAUACUGCUGACGGGGCUCAUUAAUGAACAGGAGAAUACCAGCUCUGAGAAGAACAUGUGUAGCAGCAAGGAGAUUAUAGCAGUGAGAAGCUACUGUGAUUCAGUGCAUAACAUGCGGCUCUGAACAAUAAUGCUGAUUUACAGCUUUAGGGUUUGUUGUUAGAGUCUGUGACAGAAAUACCUCACGCAGUAAUGCAGAAAAACCCUAUUGCUUGUUCUUCUGGGUAUGAUUUCAGAAUUAAAGGUGAUGGUGACCUCAUCUGCAAGAAAGGGAUUAUUGGCAGAAGGAGACUCUGUGAAUCUGACAUGUGGUUCAGAGAGUUGCUCUCUCAGCCAAUCAGAAUUCACCUGGUUUAAGGACAACCAGCAGAUCACAGACACAAUGCCCACAAUUCACUUCAACCGCGUCUCCUAUAAUCACUCUGGAAAUUACUCCUGUGCAUUGAAAGGAGACAUAGGGGUUGUGUCCAAUACCAUUAUACUUAAUAUUCAAUCUGAAAGUAACCUGAUGACAGUGAUACUAGUGUGUCUGGGGAUACUACUGGCUGUUUUAGCUGUAACAAUCUGCAUAAUGAGAAGGAAGAGAAAUUCACUGAAUGUGCCAAAUGACAGAGGGGGGGGAAAUCAAAUCACAGAAGAUAACGAGUAUGCAGACAUUACAAAGUCUGCCUCUCAGACCAGGAGUGAGAGACAGGAAGUCCCGUUUCAGGGAGAGGAAGUCUCUUAUGCUUCCGUGCAGUUUAACACCAAACCACCAGACAGGCAGUUUGAUGUCAGUAACGCGGAGAGCCAUGAUGAUGCAAUCGUAUACGCUGCAGUCCGAAAACCAGCUUACUGCAGUUAAACCAGGGGUCUCCCUCACCUGUGGCUCCACUCCUCCUGAUCGACCCUCCCUCCAUAAGGACGCCUCUACAGGGGCAGCAGUCCCUUCCAGAGCUGAUUCCAUAGAGCACACUGGAGCUGCAGUGACCAUACAGCACACUGAAGCUGCAGUGACCAUCAUAAAGCACACUGAAGCUGCAGUGACCAUCAUAAAGCACACUGAAGCUGCAGUGACCAUCAUAAAGCACACUGGAGCUGCAGUGACUAUAGGGCAGUCUGGAGCAGCCCUUUGGCUCAGUCACUCUCAGUGAACUGAGGCAGUUUGUCAGUUUGUGUCUGGUGCCUUUUUCUGGACAAAGAUUCAGUUUCAGAAUCUUUAUUAUCAUUGUACAAGUACAACGAAAUUGGAUGCAGUCCCAGUUGUAUUCAUGUAUGUAAUAAUCUAUGGGUCACACCCUCAGUGCUGAACCCUGCUUCUGCUUUGUGUGUGUAGGGCUCCCCCUUGUGGGCAGUCCAAAGAUAAGUAAUCUGACUAAGUCUGACUGACUGUGAGCGCUGUGACACACUGGUCUCCUGCCCAGAGUGAACCGCUGCCUUGUGGCCUGUGCUGCCUGGCAAAGGCCACCCCCCGCGACCACACCCCCCC